AUGAAAAUAUUAUGUUGGAACUGUCGUGGGAUGAGGAAGCCCACGGCAGUUCGUGCACUCUUGGGGGUCCAAGGGCGGGUGAGGCCGGAUGUGAUUUUUUUGUCUGAAGCUCAUCUGUGUAAAGCUAAGGCAGAAAGGUUGAGGAGGAGACUCGGUUUUGAUAGCUUGGCAGUAGCGGAAAGUGAUGGAAGAAGCAGUGGUCUAGUGAUGUUC
rnacentral:rRNA from 1 species